rnacentral:misc_RNA from 1 species
UCUCCGUAGGUGAACCUGCGGAGGGAUCAUUACAGAGUUCUCGCCCUCGCGGGUAGAUCUCCCACCCACUGUUAUCGUUACUGUGUUGCUUUGGCGGGCCGCCGGGCCCCGCCCGGCCGCCGGCUCCGGCUGGCGCGCGCCCGCCAGAGGCCCAGCAAACUCUGAAUGUUAGUGUCGUCUGAGUACUAUAUAAUAGUUAAAACUUUCAACAACGGAUCUCUUGGUUCUG